rnacentral:misc_RNA from 1 species
GGUUUUAACCCAGUUACCAAG